GGAGCAGGCAUUGCCACAGCUGUGUCAUAGGUUGCAGCUGAAGCUGUCCUGGGAACUUCCAUAUGUCACAGUGCACUGCCCCCCCCAAAAGAAUGGCCUGAACAAUCACUAUGGUGACAUUAAUUUUUAUCUGCAGCUCUCUGAGCUUGUCUCUGUGCAGCAGAAUUUGAGCAGCUUUAUGAGAAUGCAUUUCCUGUGUCAAAACCAAGAAUAUGAUCAUCUAAAGCAACAGGCAAACCUUCUUUUGUUUCAUCUGCUCCAGCAGCUGCAUCCUGUGUCAGGAACUCCUGGACCACCAUAUGAAUUGCCUCAACGGUUACCAGUGUAGCUGGCAGGGUUGCAGUGGUACUGGCUUCUGGCUUGGUCCCCCAGACUUCCACCAGGAGAGGAGAGGCGUGGAGUGAGAGAGGCAGGCACCAACCACGUGCUGAGAGGAGCCUGUUUAUUCUUUGCCUUCCUCAACUCGCGUGAGUUUCACCUCUGCUCCUUCUAAGAUUUCCCCUUUUUAGCAGGAUACCAGUCAUGUUGGAUUAGGGCCCACUCUAGUGAUCUCUUUUAAACCUGAUUACCUCUGGAAAGACCCUAUCUCCAAAUGAGGACACCCUGUGAGUACUGCAGUCUCCUUUGCAGGCAGAGGUGUCAGAUGACACACGGGCUUAGGAUUUCUUGGAUGUUUUGCUUUUCUGACAGUUUCCUCCUAUUUGCGCCCCCUUGUUCUGCUUCUCUGGAACAUAGUGGUGGUGCUGGAGUUGUACUAGCCUGUGGAUGACCAGGACGCACAGAGAGGAGGACGAUGAUGUGAAGAGACAGAGAGCCACAGGGAGAACACAGAGGCGGAAAUUAGAGACAUGCAGCAGCAAACCAAGGAACACAAGAACUGAUGGCCUCACCAGAAACCAAGAGAAAGUAGGAAGUUGUACCCAGAGUCUCAGAAGGAGUGUGGCCCUGCUGACACCAUGAUUUUGGACUUCUAGCCUCCAGAACUGUGAGCAAAUACAUUUCUGUUAUUUAAGAUGCUAAAUUUGUGGUACUUUGUUACAGCAGCCUCAGGGUACUUAUACCCACCCUAAUGCAUUCACUUUCUCCUCUGGGUCUCCAGACUCUGUUUUGAUGCAAGAGCCUCUUAACCGGUCCCUCAGCUUCCAGUGUUACUUCCUUUCCAUUCCUGCUCCAUGAAACAGCUUGAAUGAGCUUUCUUUGUAUUUUGUAUUAAUUUUUUAAAAAAUUUUGGCCACGCCCAUAGUAUUUAGAACUUCCUGGGCCAGGGAUUGAACCUGAGCCAUGGCAGUGACAAUGCUGAAUCCCUAACUGCUAGGCUGCUAGGGAACUCCUAUUUAUUCACGUACAAUUGAUGUAUAAUUUGUGUUAACUUCUGCUGUACGACACAGUGAUUUGGGUUUAUAAUAUAGAUAUUCUUUUAAAAAAUAUUCUUUUGCAUGAUGGUUUAUCAUAGGAUAUCAUAUAGUGCAGUUCCCCGUGCUAUACAGUAGGACCUUGUUGUUUAUCCAUUCUAUAUAUAAUAACUUACAUCUAACCCCGACCUCCCACUCCAGCCCUCCGCCAGCCCCCUCCUUCUUGACAACCACAAGUCUGUUCUUCAUGUCCACAAAUCUGUGUCUAUAUGAAUGAGCUUGCUAAAGCUCAAAUUACUGUCCUGUUUACACACGUUUCAAUGGCUUCCUGAUAUUCUAAAGAUAAAUUCUGAACUCCUUACCUGAUAGCAAAAGGCCGUAUGUGCCUCUCCAGCAUCAAUUAGUCUCGCGCUUUGCAGCUACUUUCCGUGCCUGCAAUUCCACCAUUGUUCCUACCCUGUUUGACCUCUCGGCUUUCAUUCUCAUUAGAGGUCUUUUCUCCUAAGAAGCCAUCCUCGACUCUCCUGAUAGCGGUAUCACCCUUGCUGCAUGCUCUCUGAAAGUCUGGUUCUCUCUCCAUCAGAGCACAGAUCCCAUUUGUUACACUGCCUGCCUGGUUGUCUGUCUGCCUUCCUAUUCUGUAAGCUCCUGGGAGAGGGACUGUCUCCUCCAGCACGAUAGCAUCAGUGACCAACUGUGACUGCCCCAUUUCAGAUGCUCACUAUAGUGGAUUGAUGGGAACUGCUUUCCCCUGAGCUCCAGAUUUUGCAAGAUUUUAACUACUAAACAAUUUAUUACUUAAGUUAACCUUGUGGGGUUUAUCAGGGGUAUCCAUGCAUGAUUUUCUUUCCUUUCCUGCUUCCUCCCUCCCUCCCUCUCUCUCUUGCUUUCUUUCUGUCUUUCUUCCUGGCCACCCCGUGGCAUACGGAGUUCCCAAGACAGGGAUCAGAUCUGAGCUGCAGUUGUGAGCUGUGUUCCAGAGACACUGCCGAUCCUGUUACACGACGCUCCUUUUUUUAAAAAAAAUUUGAAAAUUGUUUUAAGAACUUCCAAGCUGUUUUCUUUUUGAGGAAUAACCCCGAGCCUAACAAUCCUGGUUUUCAAAUCUAGUCCAUCUCCUUCCAUUUCACAGAUAAGGAAACCGAGGCCCAGAGAGGGCAGAUGACUUGUCUAAGGUUGAAGUGGGUUGGUAAGGUCCCCAGGCUAAAACCCAACUUUUCUGAAUUCCAUCCAGGAUUUUCUCUGCUCUUUCACGAUAGCUAAGCCAGAUGUAUAUUGAUGUAAUGCUUAACAACCAGCUCUCUCGGGGGAGAAAAGAGCAUUGAUUUGUAACAUUUGUCAGUUUCUGUGAUAGGCAGGCUUUCACCUUGGCUAAUUUCAAGCUACCUAUGUGAAGUCACUGACCAUGAGCCUUGGUUCCAAUAGACUCCAAAUUUCAUGCGCUCUGCUUUCUUAAAUGUCUGUAGUGUUGGAGGCUCCAGCCCCAGCCCCCAAAAGUGGCUAUUGCCAGAACAUGCUAAAUUCUGGCAAUGAAAUGAUGUAAAAGGCUAUAAAUAAAAAUAAAAGAUCCCAAAGGAAUGAC
rnacentral:lncRNA from 9 species